rnacentral:tRNA from 1 species
CGCAGAGUAGGGAAGUCUGGUAUCCCGCUUGGCUCAUAAUCAAGAGACCGCUGGUUCAAAUCCAGCCUCUGCCA